rnacentral:tRNA from 1 species
GCCUGGCUAGCUCAAUCGGUAGAGCGUGAGACUCUUAAACCAGUUAUCUCAAGGUUGUGGGUUCGACCCCCACGUUAGGCU